GGGGUUCCUUAAUAAAAGAAACCUAUUUUCUCUAAUAAGAGGUUUCUUAUACAAGUUAUAAGAAACCCUUUUUGAAAAAAUGUGAUUCCUUAUCUAAUUAUAUAAAUUUAGUGUUAUUUAAGGAACUGCCUUUUAUGAAAAGGGGUUUCUUAUACGGAAUAUCAAUCUAAAACUAUUUCUAACCCAUCUUCAAAUUAAAACAAUAAAAAAUAAAAAACCUAUUUCUAACCCUAUUAUCAUACCAGUUAUCUUCCAUCCACCCCCAUGAAUCACAGUCGCCUCCACCGUCCCCAUUCACUCAUCUCUCUUCUCCCUCUCUUACAGUUCUAAUCUCUCUUCUAUUGAAGCGUCCUCUAGCUCUCAUUGAAGCGGAUCUCGAGCUUUAUAGAUUUCAAAUUAUCAAGUUUAAUGGCAGAAGAAACUGGUUCCCAGCCAACUAACUGUGUUAAUCCUGCAACAAGAACACAUUCAAUUGGUUUAAAGUGAAAAUUUAUAUUCGACAAAGGAUGGUUGGAGCUUUGUCAAUUUUGUUUGGAGACAAAUAAAAUUUCUUUAGAGGUUUUAGAAGAUCAGUUAUUGUAAAUGUUGUUGAUUGUGUUUAGAAUUUUAUAGUUAUAUUAAUAUUAAGUAAAAGAAUUUUACAUAUUUGUGCAUGAAUAUUAUAUGGAGUAAAGAGCUUGAAAAUUGAAGGGAGCGUGAUAUGUAGGAAUAUCGUAUAUAU